AUGUUGUAUGAAAUGAGAAAAGGUUAGCACUCCACUUGACAAAGAUGAAAGAGGCUCUUGGACCUAACAACAGACGUGGUUAAGGCAUUGGCAUACACUUUAUGACAUGUAACCACUGUUUUUU
ensembl:snRNA